rnacentral:rRNA from 18 species
GUUGACCUCGGAUCAGGUAGGGAUACCCGCUGAACUUA